UUGAUUAAAAGAGUCAUCUAACCACAUGAAAAUUGCAUCAGUUUCAUAAGUUUACUGUGAUUAUUAAAUUGAGUAUCAGCCUCAUAGACACAUUCAGUGCAUUUGGUUAAACCAUCAAAAUCUUUCCAAAGAUCAUCCACUUUGUUAUAAUAAUCAGACACAAACAAACUGAUGGGUUUUAGCCAUAAGAACUUUCCUAUGUGCGCAUGCAAAACCCUAAUGCUUGGAUCUAGGCUUUCUAAUAAACAUGCUUUGAAUCCAAGUCUUCUAAUGACUAAUUAGGUUAAAUAACAACAUUGAAACAGAUCUAGAAUCAUACCUUUGAGUUCCUUUGUUGAUCUUGAGGUCUUGGAGCUUCUAGAGUCACAAAUGUCACUCUUCUAAUGGCUUACAAACACCAAAGCAAGAAGAAUGAUUUAGGAGAGAGGAGAGGGAAGGAAUUUCGACCAGAGGUUCCUUACUUUAGGUUAGAUCACGAAUUCCCUAUGCCAUGGGGUCUAUUUAUACUUGUAGACUCCUUAAGGGUUACAACCUAAACCCUAAUUGGAUAAUCUUCUCUUAAGGCUAUCCAAAUCCAUUCCGUAGAUAAGCCUUUGGACGAUUUUAGCUAUCCUAACACUCUUAGAAUUCGUCCAAAGCAUAUCCCAAUGGAUUUACAGUCUAAAGCUUAACUAUCAAACAAUUGACAGUUUAUACCCCUUUAUUUAAUUAAUCUCUUUAAGUCACCAAAUUAAUUCUAAUUAAUUCUAUGACUUAUAUUAAUCAAAUAACAAAUAUAUUAUUCAUUAUAUUAUUCUCAUAAUAUAUUAAUAAUAUUUACUCUCUCUUAAUAAAUCAUCCUAUCAAGUUGCUAUGGUGAAGGCAACCCAAAAGGACCAUGCACAACCGGAUCAAAUACUUGCCUAAUAUAGUUACAGCCUUAGACACUAUUCCAACAGUCUCCCACUUGGAUAAGUCUAGUAACUAUACAAGUACAAUUCGGUUUGCAAUCGUAGCUCUCAAAGACGCUGUCAACUCUGAUCUAAUCAAUCUUGUCCUUUAGAUAAGGGAACGUACAGUCCUCUGUUAGAUAUCAUGCUGACAAUCCUAUGGAAUGGUUAGUCAAGCAUUUAGGUUUCUCGAUCUCUGAUUUAUUUGACAUAGAACUUAAUCGAACACAUCAAUUCAGUUCUGACCGGGCCCGGCACAUAAGUCAAAUCAAAUCAUCGAGCGGCCGAGAUAUCGCUUUUACCUUCUUAGAUAAAAGUUACAGAUAAACUUCGACUUAUAUGCAUUUACUUAUUCAUUAACCAACUAUACACAACAAUGCGUUUUAUAACACCGAGUUACUGAUGCGUUUUCGCAUUAUCAAUGUACAAUCAAUUAACAAAUAACAAACCAUAUAUCUAGGUUUUAAGACUAUAUGAUAUUAUCGUCUUGCGAUCACCCUUUUAUAUCAUAUUCCAUAAGGUGAUUCCAGCAAGCGCGGGUUUGUUCCAAUGCUCAAAACUAGUUCAUAAGCACUCAUGAACGUUGCAGCAACCCUUUGCUAUGUCUAACACCAUUUAGACAAUCUACACACCAAUUCAUGACAAUCUUCAUUCAUAUCUACUUCCAACAUAUGAACGAUUGUGGACAAUUUGAACAAUUCGAUUAUUCCUAAUAAACUCAAUUAUUCUGGAAGUCAAAACAUGCAAAGUGAAACAAUAGCUAAACAAUUAACAUAAGAUAGUAACAUUACUCAUAAAUAAAACUCCUUUAUUUAAUCAUCAAAUGUUAAUUACAUUUAUCUAUUACACGUUUCUAAUACUAUCUAAUCUAUGCUAAUAUCAUCCUUCAGCCCAAUACUCCUAGCAUGCUGCAAGUGCUUAACCCUACUCAGUCCCUUCGUAAGCGGAUCUGCUGGGUUAUCUUCUGAUGAUAUCCUCUUCACUACGAGUUGUCCUUCUUCUACACGAUGUCUAAUGAAGUGAUAUUUUCUGUCGAUAUGUCUUGAUCUACCAUGAUCCCUCGGUUCCUUGGUCAAGGCAACCGCUCCUUCGUUAUCACAGAAAAUCUCCAUGGGCUCCUUUAUGGCAGGUACAACUCCAAGAUCACCGAUGAAGUUCUUUAGCCAUAUUGCCUCCUUCGACGCUUCGCUCGCUGCAAUGUACUCUGAUUCGCACGUUGAAUCAGCUACGGUUUCCUGCUUGGAACUCUUCCAUGUCACUGCUCCUCCAUUUAGGGUAAAGACCCAGCCCGACUGCGAACGGUAGUUGUCCCUGUCGGUCUGAAAACUGGCGUCACUAUACCCUCGCACCUUCAAGUCAUCACUCCCUCCGAGGACUAAGAACCAUUCCUUCGUCCUCCGAAGGUACUUAAGGAUAUUCUUCACCGCAAUCCAAUGUGCUUUGCCAGGAUUCCCUUGAUAUCUGCUAACCAUGCUCAAAGCGAAGGCUACAUCAGGGCGAGUACAAGUCAUAGCGUACAUGAUUGAGCCAACUGCGGAAGCGUAUGGUACUCGGCUCAUUUCUGCUAUCUCAGCUUCGGUACUCGGACUUUGAGUCUUACUCAAUUUGGCAUUACUUUGUAUCGGUAGUUCUCCCUUCUUUGAGUUUUCCAUACUAAAACGUUUUAGUACCUUCUCUAAGUAAGUAUUCUGACUAAGUCCAAUUAGUCUCUUACUUCUUUCUCUUACUAUCCUUAUUCCCAAAAUGUAAGAAGCCUCUCCGAGGUCCUUCAUAGCGAAGCACUUCCCGAGCCAGGACUUAACCUCCUGCAGAGUCGGGAUGUCGUUUCCUAUGAGUAAUAUGUCAUCGACAUAUAGAACGAGGAAGCUUACUAUACUCCCACUGGCUUUGACAUAUACACAAGAUUCGUCUUCGCUUCGUACAAAUCCAAACUCUUUGACUUUCUCAUCGAAGCAAAGAUUCCAUCUGCGAGACGCUUGCUUAAGUCCAUAAAUGGACUUCUCAAGCUUACACACUCUAUUCGGAUGCUUCGGAUCCACAAACCCCUCUGGCUGAGCCAUGUAAACAUCCUCAGCCAACUUUCCGUUAAGGAAAGCGGUCUUGACAUCCAUUUGCCAAAUCUCAUAAUCAUGAAAUGCGGCAAUAGCUAGCAUCACUCUAAUAGAUUUAAUCUUCGCAACUGGUGAGAAGGUCUCAUCAUAGUCAACUCCGGGAGUUUGAGUAAAGCCCUUCGCAACCAAUCGCGCUUUAUAUGUGUGUACGUUUCCAUCCACGUCGGUCUUCUUCUUGAAGAUCCAUUUGCACCCAACGGUCUUACGUCCGGGCACAUAAUCAACCAAAUUCCAAACUUGGUUAUCAUACAUGGAUUGGAUCUCGCUAUCCAUUGCCUCUUUCCAUUUUGCAGACUCCGGGCCUGCCAUGGCUUCCUUAUAGCUAUUAGGUUCAUCAAGAUUUACUAGUGUACCAUCACUAAUAUACGUGUCCCCUUCGGUAGUAAUAUGAAAGCCAUAAAACUGGGGAUGAACUCUAACUCUAUCGGAACGUCUAAGAGGUAAGGAUUCGUCAAUCGGUUCAACCGGAGUUUCCUCCUCGGGUUGAGUGCCAGCGGUAGAGGUUCCUUCAUCUAUCGACUCUUGAAUCUCUUCAAGUUCGAUUUGCCUCCCACUGUCUCCUUGGCUUAUGAGUUCUCGCUCUCGGAAAACUCCUCUCCUCGCAACGAAGACAACAUUGUCCUUCGGUCUAUAGAAGAGAUAUCCAAAGGAUGUCUGCGGGUAGCCGAUGAAAAUACAUCGCUCACUUCGAGGUUCAAGCUUGUCGUGAGUAUCUCGUCUUACGAAAGCCUCGCAACCCCAAACCUUGAUAUGUGCCAACGAGGGAGCUUUCCCUGUCCACAUCUCGUGAGGUGUUUUGGCAACCUUCUUAGUAGGGACUCGGUUAAGGAUAUGGGCGGCAGUCUCUAAGGCAUACCCCCAAAAAGAGAUUGGUAGUGAAGCACGACUCAUCAUAGAGCGAACCAUAUCCAAUAAGGUUCGAUUACGCCUUUCUGCCACACCAUUCAACUGCGGUGUCCUAGGAGGCGUCAAUUGUGAAACUAUUCCACACUCCUUGAGAUAAUCGUGGAAUUCAAGACUUAGGUACUCUCCUCCUCGAUCGGAUCGAAGCAUCUUGAUUUUCCUGCCCAAUUGAUUCUCCACUUCAUUCUUGAACUCUUUGAACUUUUCAAAGGUGUCUGACUUUUGCUUGAUUAAGUAGAUAUACCCAUAUCUACUAUAGUCAUCGGUAAAAGUCACAUAGAAGCGGUUCCCAUCCUUCGUGGUUGAUCUAAACGGUCCACAUACAUCGGUAUGUAUUAGGUCCAAUAGACCCUCGCCCCUUUCACAUGUACUCGUGAAGGGUGACUUAGUCAUCUUUCCAAGCAAACAAGACUCGCAUGUGUCAUCUUCCCUAAGGUCGAAUGACUCCAACACUCCAUCCUUUUGGAGUUGGGCUAUGCGUUUCUUGUUGACAUGUCCAAGACGACAAUGCCACAAGGAUGCUUUAUCCAUACUAGUGGAAGAAUCAAUAUUCAAAACAUCAUUUCCUAAGUUAUCAACAAUCAUAACGGUUUCAUAUAUUCCAUUACAUGGUAUAGCUUCAAAGUAAAAGACACCAUUUAGAUAAGCCAAAAUAGAACCAUUCUCAUUAUUAAAAGAAAAUCUAAAUCCUUGUCUAUAUAAACCAUGAAAUGAAAUGAUGUUUCUUGCCAUUUCUGGCGAAUAGCAACAAUUGUUCAAAUCUAAAACUAAACUAUUCCUAAGCACUAAGGAAUACACUCCAAUCUUGGUCACAGGCGACGAUCUUCUGUUCCCCAUGAUUAGAUUGAUCCUUCCUUGCUCCACAUCCCUACUUCUUCUUAGUCCCUGCACAUUAGAACAAAUGUGAUAACCACAACCGGUAUCAAGAACCCAAGAAAUAGCAUGAUUAGAAUCGUUAGAUUUGAUUGUAUAUAUACCUGCGAAAGAUGGCUUGAUCUUUCCUUCUUUGAUUGCUUGCAGGUAAUCCGGGCAGCUUCUCUUCCAAUGUCCUAUCUUGUGGCAGUGGUGGCACUCUGCCUCCUUCGGGUUAGAGCAGGGCUUAGCGGGAUCAACUUUGGUCCCACUAGAAGAGGCACCAUCUCGGGCUUUCACCUUGCGAUAGUUCUUCGAUGAAGCUUUCCUCUUCUUUCCCUUCCCUUGUCCAAUAGCCAAGACAGGAGCAGCGGGCGGAUUGGGAGUAGGUGCAACAGACUUGUCUUUGAAGUUGCUCUCAGCAACCCUCAAGAGACCUUGGAGCUUGCUUAGGGUGACCUCUUCUUUGUUCAUGUGGUAGGUCAUCCUAAAUUGAUUGUACAUCGGAGGCAAAGAGUGAAGCACCAUGUCGAUCGCCAAAUCCUCACCGAAGUCAACAUUUAACUUGCGAAGGCGGUCGACAUACCUUUGCAUCUUUUGCAAGUGCACGGUAAGAGAUUCUCCAUGACCCAUCUUCGCGGAAAUCAUGUUAGUGAAAAUCUCGUACCUCUCUUGUCUCGCGUUUUGGUGGUACCUCUCCAAUAAGUCUUGGUGCAUCUCGUACGGGUACAUGUCCUCGUAGGACUUUUGGAAUUCGGAGUUCAUGGUGGCAAUCAUGAUGCAAUGUACCUUCGUUGCAUCUCGCUCAUGAGUCUCAAAAGCGGUGAUUUCGGCCGGAGUAGCGAUUUCGGGGUUGAUUUUCUCGAGCUUCUCAUCGAGGACAUACUCCUUAUCCUCAUAGCGAGCAAUGGUGCGAAUGUAUCUUAUCCAUUCGCUAAAGUUCGUUCCAUCGAAGGUGACCUUUUGGCAAAGGCUCAUCAACGUGAAAGAACUAGCAGCAGCGUUGUUUGCGUUCGACAUCUACAAUUAGAAAAGGACAAAGAUAGAUUAGAAUAAGAAUCCCUAAUUAUCACCCAAUAAGAAAAUUAGGGCUAGGAUCCAACAAUAACAUUUACAUACUAGAAAAGGGAUGCCGUAAUCUAACAUGCAAAUAAAUUGAAGGUAAGUGAAUGACGAUUCACUAAUUCUCCAUCACAAAACUUAAACUAUUAGUCCUAAGUGUUUUUGAGAAUUCCUAGGUUCGGAUGAGAUUCAUUGAAACUAUUCAAUGGCAUGUUUAAAUCUCGAUAUGCCCCUCUUGUUUGUGACUGGGAUGCCGAGGAUCACAAAGCGGGUGUGAAUUACCAUGCAAAUUCACAUGGUGCCUUCAUUGUAACGAUCACCUAUUCGAUGUGCCGGUAAACCACACACGCUCCAUCGAACUAUGAUAAACAAUGAAUCACCCUUUGCCACCUUCGCUUAGAACCAAUUAGUGUGCCGGUAAACCACACACGCUCCACUAACAUCUUAGCAAGGUGCAAAGUGUAAUUUCAUGGGAUUGCAUCAAUUCACUUUUCCUAAAGUAACUAGGAUUGGGAAAUUUUAAAAUAUGUGUAGUUACUUUGUAUUUCUUAUUAUACUUUUAAUGAGAGGAUGAGGUUGCCCUAUCCUACCCGUUCGGCUAACGACCCUCCACCAAUCAAGCAAGCGGUGGGUGUGAGUGUACACCCAUUAAGCGCCAUUUUAUAGGCCGCAACCUUAUACCCACCUUAUAGAUCGGCUUCGUGAAUGAGGCCUACUAACGGUAAGACUAGCAUUUAGUUAUACAUAUAUAUAUUAUUCUAGUAAUAUCAUAUUAGUAUAGGGUUGUAUUUUAAAACUUUUAAAAUCUAGGGUUUGAAAUUUAAGUUGUCUAAAUUAAAACUUUUAAUCACAAAAGUAAAUUUCAAAACAUGAGGGUAGGUUUUAAACAUUUAAAACAUGGAGGAUCAAAUAACAAAUAAUUCCAAUUAACAAUUAAUAUCCUAAUUAUCUAUAUUUGAUUUAUUCAAGAUUUCCUUUUAAGAUAAUUACCAAAAUAAUCAAAAUAAUUAAUUAAUUAUCAUAUAAGGAAAUUAAAUAUUUAAUUAGUUGAUAAUUACCUUUAACUAGAUCAAGAUAAUAGUUAUAUUUAUCAGAAAAACGAAUUAAUGUUGAUCUAAUUAGUUUAUGGUAAGUUAAGAUAAGAUAAACACAAAGAAAUCCCGAAUCUGGCCAUUCCUGACGCCUGGACUCGCCGAGUGCACAAGGGGACUCGCCGAGUCAGGCCUACUCGCCGAGUCCACCUUGGGACUCGCCGAGUCAGUGACUCAGAAACCUAAAAAUCGAAUUUUGCAGGUUUGUUUCAGUUAAUCAAGCAACAAUUUAAAGAAAACCAAGCUAGGCUCUGAUACCACUGAUGGGUUUUAGCCAUAAGAACUUUCCUAUGUGCGCAUGCAAAACCCUAAUGCUUGGAUCUAGGCUUUCUAAUAAACAUGCUUUGAAUCCAAGUCUUCUAAUGACUAAUUAGGUUAAAUAACAACAUUGAAACAGAUCUAGAAUCAUACCUUUGAGUUCCUUGUUGAUCUUGAGGUCUUGGAGCUUCUAGAGUCACAAAUGUCACUCCUCUAAUGGCUUACAAACACCAAUAGCAAGAAGAAUGAUUUAGGAGAGAGGAGAGGGGAGGAAUUCGACCAGAGUUCUCUUACUUUAUGAGAUGUGUCGAAUUCCCUAUGCCAUGGGGUCUAUUUAUACUUGUAGACUCCUUAAGGGUUACAACCUAAACCCUAAUUGGAUAAUCUUCUCUUAAGGCUAUCCAAAUCCAUUCCGUAGAUAAGCCUUUGGACGAUUUUAGCUAUCCUAACACGCUUAGAAUUCGUCCAAAGCAUAUCCAAAUGGAUUUACAGUCUAAAGCUUAACUAUCAAACAAUUGACAGUUUAUACCCCUUUAU
rnacentral:lncRNA from 1 species